rnacentral:rRNA from 1 species
UACGUAGGGCGCAAGCGUUGUCCGGAAUUAUUGGGCGUAAAGAGCUCGUAGGCGGUCUGUUGCGUCCGCUGUGAAAACUCGGGGCUUAACCCCGAGCCUGCAGUGGAUACGGGCAGACUAGAGGUAGGUAGGGGAGAAUGGAAUUCCCGGUGUAGCGGUGAAAUGCGCAGAUAUCGGGAGGAACACCGGUGGCGAAGGCGGUUCUCUGGGCCUUACCUGACGCUGAGAAGCGAAAGCAUGGGGAGCGAACAGG